GGGUGAUGAAAAUGCUCAAAGUUAGAUUACGGUGAUGGUUGCGCGCCUCUGUGAAUAUACUCAAAAGCCUUGAAAACAAAAGUUGAGGUGCUACAAACUAAAGGAUCUAAUCGCAGUCACAGAACAGUUGCCCAUGCUUAGUGGCAAGAGGCUGUAUCCUGAGGACUUUUGUGUUUCCAGAUUUCUCCAAAGGAGAAUUACAGUUUGGCAGGUGGAAUGAGGGUCAGGUAGAAAAGGCUGACGAUGCAACUAACUUUAAGGAGGGGGAGGACAAAGGGUGAAGACCAGGUCAGUGUGGAGAAAGGGAGGUUGUAGGAUGUUAGUGCUUCAGAGGAAAACAACAACGAGCUUUUCUCUCCUCUCUGGGGAUCCUGGUCAGCUUCACAUUGGUGGCCCAGAAAUCAGUCUCAGCCCCUCCCAGUAUGGACCGCUCCUUGACAGCCGCCCUCUCUCCUAUAAAGGCAGAUGCAAGCUACGUUUGUGUGGGGAUGACACAGCACAAAGGCCCUUGCCAGAUGUGAGCCCCUUGAUAUUGGAUUUCCCAGUCUUCAGAACUGUCGAAAAGCCCAGGAAUGUUCUAGAAUAUAUGAUUGGCGAGGACCCUCACUGGUGCCAUCCACAUCUUCUCUUCAGGACUGGGAACGUUGGCAGCUGAUGAUCCUCUGGGAAGUUCCUUGAUACCUGAUGCCAAGUCCUGAGGUUUUUGGAAGUGCUGCAGUGGAAAUUAGGUUCUUCUUGGCUUUCCCAGUUUAGCAUUUGGCCUUCUCAGAUUCACAAGAUCAAUUAUCAUUACGUAGACACUCACAUUCUCUUUGUCCUUGUGAGUUUAUCUCUUUACUGUAAUUUUAGCAGCAUAGAGAGGAAGUAAGAAUGAAUCUAUGUUGAGAAUUUACAAGAACCUCUUAAUUUUUUACUUCAGA
rnacentral:lncRNA from 1 species